AUCCAAACUUGGCCACAAUCAUCUUUGGGGUAUCUAGUUUAAAAAAUGUGUGGCGUGACCUGGUCAACCAACCAAGAUGGCCGCCACGGCUAAAAAUAGAACAAAGGGGUAAAAUGCAGUUUUUGGCUUAUAACUCAAAAACCAAAGCAUUUUGAGGAAAUCUGACAUGGGAUAAAAAUGUUUAUCAGGUCAAGAUCUAUCUGCCCUGAAAUUUUCAGAUGAAUCGGUCAAUCGGUUGUUGGGUUGCUGCCCCUGAAUUGGUAAUUUUGAGGAAAUUUUGCUGUUUUUGGUUAUUAUCUUGAAUAUUAUUAUAGAUAGAGAUAAAUUGUAAACAGCAAUAAUGUUCAGCAAAGUAAGAUCUACAAAUAAGUCAACAUGACCAAAAUGGUCAAUUGACCCCUUUAGGAGUUAUUGCCCUUUAUAGUCAAUCUUUAACCAUUUUUCAUAAAUCUAAGUAAUCUUUUACAAAAUCUCCACUGAAACUACUAGGCCACAAUCAUCUUUGGGGUAUCUAGUUUGAAAAAUGUGUCCGAUGACCUGGCCAUUCAACCAAGAUGGCCGCCACGGCUAAAAAUAGAACAUAGGGGUAAAAUGCAGUUUUUUGCUUAUAACUAUGAAACCAAAGCAUCUAGAGCAAAUCUGACAAGAAGUUAAAUUGUUAAUCAAGUCAAUAUCUAUCUGCCCUGAAUUUUUCAGAUGAAUUGGACAACUGGUUGUUGGGUUGCUGCCCUCCAAUUGGUAAUUUUUAAAGAAAUUUUGCCGUUUUUGGUUAUCUUGAAUACUAUUAUAGAUAACGAUAAACUGUAAACAGCCAUAAUGUUCAGCAAAGUAAGAUCUACAAAUAAGUCAACAUGACCUAAAUGGUCAAUUGACCCCUUAAGGAGUUAUUGCCCUUUAUAGUAAAUUUUUAACAAUUUUCAUUAAUUUGGUAAAUUUAUGUAAAUUUUUACCAAAUAUAGUUCUCUGUUACUAAUGGGCAAAGUUCAUGAUAGAUAUAAUUGUAAGAAGCAAAAUCGUUCAGUAAAGUAAGAACUUCAAACACAUCACCAUCACCAAAAUACAAUUUUGUCAUGAAUCCAUUUGUGUCCUUUGUUUAAUAUGCACAUAGACCAAGGUGAGCGACACAGGCUCUUUAGAGCCUCUAGUUUUUAUAGGCAGCAGUGAAAGCUAAAGUAAAGAGAGGAUUCUUCAACAGAAUGUCAAAUAUGGUAGAUGAAGCCAGAAAAGGACAGCAUAAGGCAGCAGUGAAAGCUAAAGUAAAGAGAGGAUUCUUCAACAGAAUGUCAAAUAUGGUAGAUGAAGCCAGAAAAGGACAGCAUAAGUUACUAUUAUCCGAUAAAGAAAAUUACAAUUAUCAAAGAAGAAAAAUGCCAUAGAGUAACGAUUAUCAUCCCGAAUUUUUCAACGGCUAUUUUCACAGCGCUUAGACAAUUCAAGUGCACCAUUACGAUUAAAAUACGAUGUUAUGGUAUAGAUAAACCUUGCAACUGAGUAAUUAUUGACAAAAAUAUCCUACAUUUAAGAAAAAUGAAGUUGUAAAGAUUUUACCUAUAUCUACCGUCGCCAUAUUGGGAUAAUCGCAAUUUCAGUUACGAUUAUUUCUUUAAUACCAGUGAAUAAAAAAGGAUCGUGGGAACCACAUUAUUGGAUAAUAACAGAGUAAAGGACGAUUCAUAAAUGCAUUUACGCCCUGUUUUCAAUAGCAAUUCAUAUGUACCCAAUCACAAGGGUUAUCGACAAUGCUAAAUAACUUCGUCCAAUCAUAUCCAUCGAUUUAAAUGACAACACAUUCAAGUAAAUGGAUCGUCUAGCUAGAUCUCACCAACCGUCAAUUAAUAGUAUUUUAAAAGAAUUGAAUUAUUUUUUCCGUAAAAAUUGAGACGAAAUUAAUUAGAUGCAAGUUUAAAGUUAUUAAUUAUUGUGGCAGAGUCAUAUUUGAUUGAUAUAUCAAAUAUGAUAUUAAUUUAAUUGUAGUGUUUGAUAGCUUGUUUACUCAUUGUUUCUAUUUCUAGCACUAUUAAUGUAAAACUUGUAUAUUUUGUUUGAAUUAAAUGCAUGA